AUACGGAGGGUCCGAGCGUUAAUCGGAAUUACUGGGCGUAAAGCGCGCGUAGGUGGUUCAGUCAGUCAGAUGUGAAAGCCCCGGGCUCAACCUGGGAACUGCACCUGAUACUGCUGAGCUAGAGUACGGUAGAGGGCAGUGGAAUUUCCGGUGUAGCGGUGAAAUGCGUAGAGAUCGGAAGGAACACCAGUGGCGAAGGCGACUGCCUGGACUGAUACUGACACUGAGGUGCGAAAGCGUGGGUAGAAAACAGGAUUAGAUACCCUGGUAGUCCACGCCGUAAACGAUGUCAACUAGCCGUUGGGGGACUUGAUCCUUUAGUGGCGAAGCUAACGCGAUAAGUUGACCGCCUGGGGAGUACGGCCGCAAGGUUAAAACUCAAAUGAAUUGACGGGG
rnacentral:rRNA from 1 species